GACGGAGGGUGCUAGCGUUGUUCGGACUCACUGGGCGUAAAGGGCGCGUAGGCGGCCCAUGCCGUCGGCUCGUGAAAGCCCGGGGCUCAACCCCGGAGGUGCGGCCGAGACCCAUGGGCUGGAGGCCGGAAGAGGAGGGUGGAAUACCCAGUGUAGAGGUGAAAUUCGUAGAUAUUGGGUGGAACACCGGUGGCGAAAGCGGCUCUCUGGUCCGGUUCUGACGCUGAGGCGCGAAAGCGUGGGGAGCAAACAGG
rnacentral:rRNA from 1 species